CACCCCCCAAGCACGGCUUGAUGUUGGGCGCCGCCCCCGCGGCGCGCCCCGAACACGCAGGCGCCUCGCCCGGCCCUCGAGCGUUCCACGGAUGACCUCCCCUCGCUCGGGCGGCCCGGCCGCGGCGGCCUCGACCCACCAUUUUUAUCAA
rnacentral:misc_RNA from 1 species